rnacentral:rRNA from 1 species
AACGAACGCUGGCGGCGUGCCUAACACAUGCAAGUCGAACGAGAAGUACGUAGCAAUACGUAUUGUAAAGUGGCGAACGGGUGAGUAACACGUGGGUAACCUGCCCUCGAGCUUGGGAUAACCCCGCGAAAGCGGGGCUAAUACCGGAUAAGACCACGGGGACCAAAGUCCCUGGGGUAAAAGAUGGCCUCUAUGUAUAAGCUGUCACUUGAGGAUGGGCCCGCGGCCCAUUAGCUAGUUGGUGGGGUAACGGCUCACCAAGGCGAUGAUGGGUAGCUGGUCUGAGAGGACGAUCAGCCACACUGGAACUGAGACACGGUCCAGACUCCUACGGGAGGCAGCAGUGGGGAAUAUUGCGCAAUGGGCGAAAGCCUGACGCAGCAACGCCGCGUGGGGGAUGAAGGUUCUCGGAUUGUAAACCCCUUUCGACCGGAACGAAUCCCCUCCUGGUAAACAAUCAGGAGGGUCGACGGUACCGGGAGAAGAAGCCACGGCUAACUCUGUGCCAGCCGCCGCCGUAAUAC